rnacentral:rRNA from 1 species
UACGUAGGGCGCAAGCGUUAUCCGGAAUUAUUGGGCGUAAAGAGCUCGUAGGCGGUUUGUCGCGUCUGCCGUGAAAGUCCGGGGCUCAACUCCGGAUCUGCGGUGGGUACGGGCAGACUAGAGUGCAAUAGGGGAGACUGGAAUUCCUGGUGUAGCGGUGAAAUGCGCAGAUAUCAGGAGGAACACCGAUGGCGAAGGCAGGUCUCUGGGCUGUAACUGACGCUGAGGAGCGAAAGCAUGGGGAGCGAACAGG